CCCCGAGAUGAGUCAUCCCUAGAGCUUCGAGCUCUCUAAAGGGUUGUCGUAGACGACGACGUUGAUAGGCAGGGUGUGUAAGCGCUGUGAGGCGUUGAGCUAACCUGUACUAAUUGCCCGUGCGGCUUAACCAUACAACACCCAAG
rnacentral:rRNA from 1 species